GACGAACGCUGGCGGCGUGCCUAAUACAUGCAAGUAGAACGCUGAAGAGAGGAGCUUGCUCUUCUUGGAUGAGUUGCGAACGGGUGAGUAACGCGUAGGUAACCUGCCUGGUAGCGGGGGAUAACUAUUGGAAACGAUAGCUAAUACCGCAUGAAAUUGCUUAUCGCAUGAUAAUUAAUUGAAAGAUGCAAUUGCAUCACUACCAGAUGGACCUGCGUUGUAUUAGCUAGUUGGUGAGGUAACGGCUCACCAAGGCGACGAUACAUAGCCGACCUGAGAGGGUGAUCGGCCACACUGGGACUGAGACACGGCCCAGACUCCUACGGGAGGCAGCAGUAGGGAAUCUUCGGCAAUGGGGGGAACCCUGACCGAGCAACGCCGCGUGAGUGAAGAAGGUUUUCGGAUCGUAAAGCUCUGUUGUAAGAGAAGAACGGGUGUGAGAGUGGAAAGUUCACACUGUGACGUAUCUACCAGAAAGG
rnacentral:rRNA from 1 species